rnacentral:rRNA from 1 species
UACGGAGGAUCCAAGCGUUAUCCGGAUUUAUUGGGUUUAAAGGGUGCGUAGGCGGGUUAUUAAGUCAGCGGUGAAAGUUCGUGGCUCAACCACGAAAUUGCCGUUGAAACUGGUAGCCUUGAGUGUAGAUGAGGUGGGUGGAAUUCGUAGUGUAGCGGUGAAAUGCAUAGAUAUUACGAAGAACUCCAAUUGCGUAGGCAGCUCACUAGACUACAACUGACGCUGAGGCACGAAGGUGCGGGGAUCAAAC